rnacentral:rRNA from 1 species
AGAUUGAACGCUGGCGGCAUGCCUAACACAUGCAAGUCGAACGGCAGCACGGGGGCAACCCUGGUGGCGAGUGGCGGACGGGUGAGGAAUGCAUCGGAAUCUGCCUGGUUGUGGGGGAUAACGUAGGGAAACUUACGCUAAUGCCGCAUACAACCUACGGGUGAAAGUGGGGGACCGCAAGGCCUCACGCGAUCAGAGGAGCCGAUGUCGGAUUAGCUAGUUGGCGGGGUAAAGCCCGCCAAGGCGACGAUCCGUAGCUGGUCUGAGAGGAUGAUCAGCCACACUGGAACUGAGACACGGUCCAGACUCCGUACGGGAGGCAGCA